rnacentral:rRNA from 1 species
UAGUUUUUUUUACUGGCUCAGGACGAACGCUKGCGGCGUGCCUAAUACAUGCAAGUCGAGCGGACAGAUGGGAGCUUGCUCCCUGAUGUUAGCGGCGGACGGGUGAGUAACACGUGGGUAACCUGCCUGUAAGACUGGGAUAACUCCGGGAAACCGGGGCUAAUACCGGAUGGUUGUUUGAACCGCAUGGUUCAAACAUAAAAGGUGGCUUCGGCUACCACUUACAGAUGGACCCGCGGCGCAUUAGCUAGUUGGUGAGGUAACGGCUCACCAAGGCAACGAUGCGUAGCCGACCUGAGAGGGUGAUCGGCCACACUGGGACUGAGACACGGCCCAGACUCCUACGGGAGGCAGCAGUAGGGAAUCUUCCGCAAUGGACGAAAGUCUGACGGAGCAACGCCGCGUGAGUGAUGAAGGUUUUCGGAUCGUAAAGCUCUGUUGUUAGGGAAGAACAAGUACCGUUCGAAUAGGGCGGUACCUUGACGGUACCUAACCAGAAAGCCACGGCYAAMUACGWGCCAGNGGGNUGAAAAAAANNA